rnacentral:rRNA from 1 species
CAGUAGCCACGGGAAUACGUAGGUGGCAAGCGUUGUCCGGAAUUAUUGGGCGUAAAGCGCGCGCAGGCGGAUCAGUUAGUCUGUCUUAAAAGUUCGGGGCUUAACCCCGUGAUGGGAUGGAAACUGCUGAUCUAGAGUAUCGGAGAGGAAAGUGGAAUUCCUAGUGUAGCGGUGAAAUGCGUAGAUAUUAGGAAGAACACCAGUGGCGAAGGCGACUUUCUGGACGAAAACUGACGCUGAGGCGCGAAAGCCAGGGGAGCGAACGGGAUUAGAUACCCGCGUAGUCCCUGUCUCUUAUACC